rnacentral:lncRNA from 1 species
GGUAUGUAAAAAAUCCACAGAUCAAUACCUUCUAAUGAGAAUCAGAUCGUUGUAUAUUAGCCGUUCAUUGACUGUAAAUGUGUGGAUGAGAUCGCCCACACUAAUUUUCUUCUUCUCUGUGAAAAUUGAACAGGGUGGUAUUCAUAUUUGUGGCUUCCAUUCAUCCCAUUGGUGGUAGGUUUUCCUGGAAUUAUAACAAUAAUAAUUGAGAAAUGCAAAAUUAAAAAGAAUAGCAAUAUGUUUCAUACAAAAAUUGGCAGAUACUUCUGCUGGUGGGAACAAAGCUCCAAGUUAUCAUCACAAAAAUGGCAUUAGAGAUCAUGGAGUACGAUGACGUCGUUAAAGGUGUUCCGGUGGUUCAACCAGCUGAUAGACAUUUCUGGUUUCAUAACCCUAAACUUCUCCUCAAUCUCAUCAACUUUGUUCUUUUUGAGGUAAGCAAAUUCAUUCUCUGUUAGCUUCAAUAAAAUUCAUUCUCUGUCAAUUAUUCUUAACACAAAAUUUUGAGAACUAAAUUAAAUAUAUGUGUGUGUAAAUUUGCAGAAUGCAUUUCAACUUGCUUUCUUCAUAUUUAGUUGGGUAAGUGGGUAAUUAAUUGAUUAGUUAAAUAAAUAAAUUCAUUAAUGCAGAAUUCUAUAUAUAAAUAUGAUUAAUAACUAUCUCUAAUCUUCAUUAAUUUUAUACUAACUACUUACAGUAUAAAUUCGGACUCCAGUCUUGCUUCCAUGAAGAAACAGAGGAUAUCGUGAUCAGGAUAUCCAUGGGGUAAGUUUACCGACUGCCAUUUUUUUUUGUAUCAUUAAAUGAUUCAUCAUUAACAAAUCGAUUC